rnacentral:rRNA from 1 species
CGGACGGGUGAGUAACGCGUGAGAAUCUGCCCUUAGGACGGGGACAACAGCUGGAAACGGCUGCUAAUACCCGAUGUGCCGAGAGGUGAAACAUUUUAUGGCCUGAGGAUGAGCUCGCGUCUGAUUAGCUAGUUGGUGGGGUAAGGGCCUACCAAGGCGACGAUCAGUAGCUGGUCUGAGAGGAUGAUCAGCCACACUGGGACUGAGACACGGCCCAGACUCCUACGGGAGGCAGCAGUGGGGAAUUUUCCGCAAUGGGCGCAAGCCUGACGGAGCAAGACCGCGUGCGGGAGGACGGCCUAUUGGUUGUAAACCGCUUUUGAUAGGGAAGAAGUUCUGACGGUACCUAUCGAAUCAGCAUCGGCUAACUCCGUGCCAGCAGCCGCGGUAAUACGGAGGAUGCAAGCGUUAUCCGGAAUUAUUGGGCGUAAGGCGUCCGUAGGUGGUUGUUCAAGUCUGCUGUUAAAGCGUGCGGCUUAACCGCAUACCAGCAGUGGAAACUGGGCGACUAGAGUGCGGUAGGGGUCAGGGGAAUUCCCAGUGUAGCGGUGAAAUGCGUAGAUAUUGGGAAGAACACCGGUGGCGAAAGCGCCUGACUGGACCUGCACUGACACUGAGGGACGAAAGCUAGGGGAGCGAAAGGGAUUAGAUACCCCUGUAGUC